UAAAGGUCCGUAUCCAGCUCUUAAGUAAUUGCACAAGAAAAUAAAAUCAUUAUUCCUUGAGCUGAAGUCAAGUAAUUUUGACAGCUGUUAACGCAAUGGGAAUGAUCCACAUUAGAAGAGCAAGUGAAAACAAACAAGAGAAAAUAAACAAAGGAAAUAAACACGUAAAUAUUUGUAUUGCCAUUUAAGGCAAAUGGAUGAAGAUUCGAUGAAUUUAAUGAAUACCUUGAAUUGUGGUGACAUGAUAGCUGCCGUGGAGAUGGAUGCUGAAUUCCAAAAAACAGAGCGUAAGAAUGCGAGAUAUUGCAAAUACUUUUUGUUAUCCAUAACACAUGGAACAAGGCAGCAUGCGAUAUUUGCCAUUGGUUAGAGCGAGAUAACCAUUGAACAUCAAAUAGCUAUGUGUUACUUUUUUCCCACUCUCUGAACAAAAGUAACAAAUAUUUUAACGAAUGCAAAAGUGAACAACAACAAUUCGCUUACACGUUUGCUAACAGCUACCCGUCUUGUAGGGUGGAGAAGUCAUACCUUAAGGAACGAAACGAAAAGGGAAGGUUCAUAUCCGACUUCGAAGCCUUGCGAAAUUCACCAGAUUUAUUCGUUAAAAACUUUAGCAUACCACCAAUAGUUAUUGAUGAACUUUAUGAGAUGAUGGAGCCGCAUCUACUUCCGAAACGCAACAGCAGGCCAAAAGAUUUUAUUCCAAUCAAAGCCAAAUUGGCAGUGGGGCUGGAGUAUGC